rnacentral:rRNA from 1 species
UACGAAGGGGGCUAGCGUUGCUCGGAAUCACUUGGGCGUAAAGCGCGAUCGUAGGCGGAUCGUUAAGUCAGGGGUGAAAUCCUGGAGCUCAACUCCAGGAACUGCCUUUGAUACUGGACGAUCUUGAGUUCGGGGAGAGGUGAGUGGAACUGCGAGUGUAGAGGUGAAAUUCGUAGAUAUUCGCAAGAACGACCAGUGGCGAAGGCGGCUCACUGGCCCGGUACUCGGACCGCUGAGG